CGCGUAGGUGGUUAGGUAAGCGAGAUGUGAAAGCCCCGGGCUUAACCUGGGAACGGCAUUUCGAACUGUCUGACUAGAGUAUGGUAGAGGGUAGUAGAAUUUCCUGUGUAGCGGUGAAAUGCGUAGAUAUAGGAAGGAACACCAGUGGCGAAGGCGGCUACCUGGACCAAUACUGACACUGAGGUGCGAAAGCGUGGGGAGCAAACA
rnacentral:rRNA from 1 species